AUUGAACGCUGGCGGCAUGCCUUACACAUGCAAGUCGAACGGCAGCACGGACUUCGGUCUGGUGGCGAGUGGCGAACGGGUGAGUAAUGCAUCGGAACGUGCCAUUGAGUGGGGGAUAACGUAGCGAAAGUUGCGCUAAUACCGCAUAUUCUGUGAGCAGGAAAGCAGGGGACCGCAAGGCCUUGCGCUCUUUGAGCGGCCGAUGUCAGAUUAGCUAGUUGGUGAGGUAAAGGCUUACCAAGGCGACGAUCUGUAGCGGGUCUGAGAGGAUGAUCCGCCACACUGGAACUGAGACACGGUCCAGACUCCUACGGGAGGCUGCCUGAGACUCAAGGCACACAGGGGAUAGG
rnacentral:rRNA from 1 species